UACGUAGGGUGCAAGCGUUGUCCGGAAUUAUUGGGCGUAAAGAGCUCGUAGGCGGUCUGUCGCGUCGAAUGUGAAAACCCGGGGCUCAACCCCGGGCCUGCAUUCGAUACGGGCAGACUAGAGUUCGGUAGGGGAGUCUGGAAUUCCUGGUGUAGCGGUGAAAUGCGCAGAUAUCAGGAGGAACACCGAUGGCGAAGGCAGGUCACUGGGCCGCAACUGACGCUGAGGAGCGAAAGCAUGGGGAGCGAACAGG
rnacentral:rRNA from 1 species